AAAGUAGGCGAACGGCUGAGUAACACGUGGGCAACCUGCCCUUUGCACUGGGAUAGCCUCGGGAAACCGAGGUUAAUACCGGAUACUCCAUAUUUGUCGCAUGGCGAAUAUGGGGAAAAGGCUCCGGCGGCAAAGGAUGGGCCCGCGGCCUGUUAGCUAGUUGGUGGGGUAGUGGCCUACCAAGGCAAUGAUGGGUAGCCGGGUUGAGAGACCGACCGGCCAGAUUGAGACUGAGACACGGCCCAGACUCCUACGGGAGGCAGCAGUA
rnacentral:rRNA from 1 species